GUGCUCGCUUUGGCAGCACAUGCAUUAAAAUUGGAAUUAUACCGGUAUUAGCAUGGCCUCUUGUGCAAGGAUGACACACAAAUUUGUGAUGUAUUUCAUAUUUUU
ensembl:snRNA U6 U6 spliceosomal RNA